CCUACGGGCGGCUGCAGUGGGGAAUAUUGGACAAUGGGCGAAAGCCUGAUCCAGCCAUGCCGCGUGUGUGAAGAAGUUCUUCGGAUUGUAAAGCACUUUAAGUUGGGAGGAUGGGGUGUAGAUUAAUCUUCUGCAAUUUUGACGUUACCGACCGAAUAAGCACCGGCUAACUUAGGGCGAGCAGCCGCGGUAGUACUGAGGGUGCAAGCGUGAAUCGGAAUUACUGGGCGUAAAGCGAGCGUAGGUGGUUGGGGAAGUCUGAUGUGAAAGGCGCGGGCUCAACCCGGGGACUGCAUUCGAAACUGACUGGCUAGAGUAUGGUAGGGGGUGGUGGAAUUUCUAGUGUAGCGGUGAAAUGCGUAGAUAUAGGAAGGAACACCAGUGGCGAAGGCGACCACCUGGACUAAUACUGACACUGAGGUGCGAAAGCGUGGGGAGCAAACAGGAUUAGAUACCCGUGUAGUC
rnacentral:rRNA from 1 species